AGUGAACGCUGGCGGUAGGCCUAACACAUGCGAGUCGAACGGCAGCACAGUAAGAGCUUGCUCUUACGGGUGGCGAGUGGCGGCCGGGUGAGGAAUACAUCGGAAUCUACUUUUUCGCGGGGGGUAACGUAGGGAAACUUACGCUAAUACCGCAUACGACCUACGGGUGAAAGCAGGGGAUCUUCGGACCUUGCGCGAUUGAAUGAGCCGAUGUCGGAUUAGCUAGUUGGCGGGGUAAAGGCCCACCAAGGCGACGAUCCGUAGCUGGUCUGAGAGGAUGAUCAGCCACACUGGAACUGAGACACGGUCCAGACUCCUACGGGAGGCAGCAGUGGGGAAUAUUGGACAAAGGGCGCAAGCCUGGUCCAGCCAUACCGCGUGGGUGAAGAAGGCCUUCGGGUUGGAAAGCCCUUUUGUUGGGAAAGAAAAGCAGCAGGUUAAUACCCCGCUGUGCUGACGGUACCCAAAGAAUAAGCACCGGCUAACUUCGUG
rnacentral:rRNA from 1 species